GGAAUCAGAAGCUCAAUGGCCAAUACUUUGUCCUAGCUCCAGCUAGCUUCCGUUCAGCUGUAUGCUUGUAUAUAUUCGCAAUUCCUUCAUUCCUAAGGAUAUGGGUUGGGACCAAGUAACAAUAAUUGUUACAAUUAUGUAGAAAGUUUAUAUCUUUCAUUAGUGUUUGGUGAUCGGUGCGUCUUAUUGACGACUUCAAAUCAAA
rnacentral:misc_RNA from 1 species